GAAAAGAAAAAAGAAAAUUGCAAUACAAGAGGAAAAAAAUGGAAGAAGGAAGCCGUAGCCGCAGCUUCUUCUUUGAAAACCAAGUGUAAUUGUUCCUCCUUCUCCACGCUCAACAACCGAUCAACUCCCUUCUAGCUCACCUUCAAACGGAAGCAACGGCAAAACACAAUCCCCCAGUUCCCUAGGACUACUCAAAACGACCCGCUACAUUGUUCAUGAAUAAGCAGUUUUGUUCACGACAUCCGCCUUCUGCGGCUCUUCCAGCACUACUCUCAUCGGGCCACCACCUUCGUCCUGUUAUUUUCUAAUAUUUCUCCUCUUGCUCUUUUGAAGGGUAAUGUUGGAGAAAGUUUUCCUGUUUUCAGAGUGCUUUUAACUGUCACUCUUGAUUAAUGGCUGCGUCCUAUUAAGGAAUUCCCUAGAGUGGUCUCCCUAUGUUUUCUUUGAAUGUUUUCCGUCAAUUCCUCAAAACGAUUCCCCCUUUCUUGAAUCCAGUGAUCUCUAGGGCUUUUACCUCACAGAAACAUAUCCAGCAGAGAAAACGUGUAAAAUAUUCCAGUCCAAAAAAUAAAAAAUCUCCUACCUCUGAAUCAUCAACCAAGAAGCAUGAUGUGGAGACAGAAAAUUAUGCAAGACAAAGAAUCACCAAAAUCUACAACAUUUUGAAGUACUCAACCUGGGAUUCUGCUAAAGAACAGCUGGAAAACCUCUCUGUGAAAUGGGAUUCCUACACUGUCAACCAAGUCCUCAAGACUCACCCUCCAAUGGAAAAAGCUUGGCUCUUUUUCAACUGGGCUGCCAGCAGGAAAAAUUUCAGGCAUGAUCACUAUACCUACACUACUAUGAUUGAUAUUUUUGGGGAGGCGAGGCGGAUUUCUUCGAUGAUGUAUGUUUUCAAUCAAAUGAAGGAGAAAGGGAUCAAGAUUGAUGUUGUUACGUACACUUCGCUGAUGCAUUGGAUAUCAAAUGAUGGGGAUGUUGAUGGAGCAAUUGAUUUGUGGAAGGAGAUGAGGGUGAAGGGUUGUCGACCGACUGUUGUUUCGUACACUGCGUACAUGAAGAUUUUGUUGGAUAGUAAAAGAGUGGAUGUAGCAACUGGUGUCUACAAAGAGAUGCUGGAGUCUGGCCUGUCGCCAAAUUGUCACACAUACACGGUUCUUAUGGAGUAUCUUGCAUCUUCUGGUAAGUUUUCUGAAGCCAUUGAGAUAUUUUACAAAAUGCAAGAUGCAGGUGUGCUACCUGAUAAAGCUACAUGCAAUAUCUUAAUUGAAAUCUGUUGUACCAGUGGGGAAAUAUGGGCAAUGGUGAAAAUUCUUGAAUUCAUGAAGGAAAAUUUCUUAGUCCUCCGAAAUCCUGUUUAUCAAAAAGCACUUAAAUCUUUUAAAUUUGCUGGGGAGAGCGACACACUUCUGAGGCAAGUCAAUCGGCACUUCUCUGCAGAGUACUCUGAUGAAGAUGAUAUAGUGUUGCACAAUAGUGAAAUCGGUGUGGAGAAUGGCCUUGUAUUGAACUUCAUGAAUAAGAAGAAUCUUGUUGCUAUUGACUCUUUGCUUACUGACAUGGCGGAUGAGGGUGUUCAGUUACACUGUAAGGUGGUCUCAGAUAUUAUUGAGGUAAACAUUGCUCGUCAAAGACAAGAUGGAGCUUUAUUGGCAUAUGAUUAUAGUGUGAAAUGGGGCAUAAAUAUUGAAAGAAGUGCCUAUCUUGCUUUAAUAGGUUUCUCAAUUAGAGCAAAUUCAUUCAACAAAGUGGUGGAGAUUGUUGAGAAAAUGGUAAAGCAAGGUCUUUCUCUUGGCACACAGCUGAAUUCUCUUUUGAUAUAUCGUCUUGGCUGUGGAAGAGAAGUUGCUUCUGCUGAGAAAGUGUUUGAUUUGUUGCCAGACAAAGAGAAGAGUAGUGCUGAAUAUACAGCUUUGAUUAGUGCUUACUUCUCUUGUGGGAAUGCCAGCAAGGGACUCGAAACAUUCAACAUUAUGAAAAGCAAGUGUGUAAAAGUUGCCUUGGGAACUUAUUGUGUCGUGGUAGCGGGUCUUGAAAAAUGUGGUAAGGCUCGUGAGCUAGAGCACUACAGGAAAGAAAAGAAGAGUCUGGAAGUGGAAAGGUGCUCCACAAAUAUUUCAAUGGAGGAAACCAUAUGUAAUCUUUUAUUUGCUGGGGAUUUUAUAACUCGUCGUGCUCGAUAAGAUAUACCUCCUGUAGACAUAGUUUAUAACCUGGGAUUUGGUGUGCUGCAAUUGAUUAAUCUACUGAUGCCAAGAUUCAAAAAACAAUCCGCUUUCUUGGCAAUGCCUUUAGUCUACAAACAGUCCUAGGAGGAACUUUUUGUAAGGUAUCCAUAUAUUACAGAGAUCUCAGUGGUUGGGAUUAAGUAAAAGGAUGGAAUUUUCUUGGCUGCUAAUAUGGGAGGUUUAGAGAUCUCAGUGGUUGGGGUUAAGUAAAAGGAUGGAAUUUUCUUGGCUGCUACUAUGGGAGGUUGACUCUAAAACAUGCAUCUCUAAGUUAUAUCUGUGAAAUUCAUUUUUAAGAUUGUUUAUUUACUCAAAAUGCCUAUGGCGCAUGAAUACAAGUUCUGAAGCUAACCUUGUAGCAUAGAAAAAGCUUUUGGUCCGUAGAAACAAUAAGCUAUUUUGAUCUCCUUUUUCGAUUGUUGUUGAUUCCAGACCUUAUUUUUUUCUCUGUGAAUGUGUGUUAUUGCCCUCGUAGAAUCUAAGUUAUUAGUCUGAAUUCUGAAAGCUUACAUUUCUAAUAGAUAUGGUGUAGUUGCACAAUAGGUUCAGGGUUCAAUAUUCACUGUUCUAGUGAUGCUAGAUGUUGAAAAAAUGUGAUGCUGAUCUCAUAGUUUGCUUCAUUCUCUGGUUGAUUUUACGAUUUUGGUCCAUUAGUACAUGGUAGUUGCUUACUUGCUUCUGAUAGCUUCCUUGCUUAAAAUACUUAUUCUCGUACCAUUGGUAUGACCGGACAUAUUGGUCUAUACUUCUUUACAAGUCUGGAAAGACUAAAGUCGGUGUGGGAAAACAUUUUGUUAUUGGUGGUAGUGACAAAAUCGCUGAUUUCCAAAAGAUCAUGUGGUAUCUUGAUGAGCUUAUGUAAGGCAUCUCUGUGACUGGGAAUACUCUUUAAACCGACUCCAGUUGUAUAUACUGCUUUAGUUUUCUUAGAAUGCUCAUUUUGCUUUGCUUUAGGCAUCUCUGUGACUGAGAAAACAAUACUCUCAAUUCUACAUCUCAGUGUAUAGAUAAAACUUGAAGUCCAGGAUAAAAUUGGUUCCUGCGUUCUUACAAUAAUAUUCGUCUCUAUUCAAAAAGUGUUCUAGAUUGCAAAGAUGACAGAGGUGGGCGUCGCGGUUUCUCAGCCAUACUUAUCAGUUAGUGGUAGUUCUAUUGGUUCUCAUAUCAUUGUGUAAGAUAUACAGACCUACUUAUAGUGUUCCUUAUCUUCAAUGAUAGGGGACUGAUUUGCUGCGAGUUAGAAGUUGAGGCUUGAGUUUUGAGGACCUCUCCCUGGCUACGACACCGGUGCUUUGUAGGCUGAGGCAUCAGUUCGAAACCUAAUUCGAUCAUCCUUUUGUUGUAGUGGUUGUAAAUCCAUCAAAUAGCAUCAAUGUUAAUAUCAAUAGAUGAGUGUUGAUGCAAACCCCUUAUCAAGAUUUGAUUUGAUUUGAUUUAUGGUGGAUACUUUUGUA